rnacentral:rRNA from 1 species
GAUCUCAGAUCAGACGAGAUGACCCGCUGAA